rnacentral:rRNA from 1 species
GGUGAUUCAUAGUAACCGAACGGAUCGCAUUAUGACCUUCGGGUCGGCGAUGGAUCAUUCAAGUUUCUGACCUAUCAGCUUUCGACGGUACUGUAUUGGACUACCGUGGCAGUGACGGGUAACGGGGAAUUAGGGUUCGAUUCCGGAGAGGGAGCCUGAGAAACGGCUACCACAUCUAAGGAAGGCAGCAGGCGCGCAAAUUACCCAAUCCUGACUCAGGGAGGUAGUGACAAGAAAUAACAACACUGGAAAUUUUAUUUCUAGUGAUUGGAAUGAUGGGAAUUUAAACCCCUUUCAGAGUAACAAUUGGAGGGCAAGUCUGGUGCCAGCAGCCGCGGUAAUUCCAGCUCCAAUAGCGUAUAUUAAAGUUGUUGCAGUUAAAGAGCUCGUAGUUGGGUGUCUGCUGGAAGCAAUCAGUCCGCCCUAUUUGUGGGGUGUGCACUUGAUGAAUUCUGGCAUUUUUGUCCCAAUAUUAUGAUGUAGAAUGUGGGACACAGAGUGUUAUUGGGCGAAAGUUCAAUAGCAUGUCUGUGUUCCGAUUCUUAUUAUAUUGGGAUACUGUUACUUUGAGAAAAUUAGAGUGUUUGAAGCAGGCUUUGAAUUGCCUUGAAUACUGCAGCAUGGAAUAACAAUAUAGGAUUUCGGUUCUAUUUUGUUGGUUUCUAGGACUGAAAUAAUGAUUAAUAGGGACAGUUGGGGGGCAUUCGUAUUUAACUGUCAGAGGUGAAAUUCUUAGAUUUGUUAAAGACGAACUACUGCGAAAGCAUUUGCCAAAGAUGUUUUCAUUAAUCAAGAACGAAAGUUAGGGGCUCGAAGACGAUCAGAUACCGUCGUAGUCUUAACCAUAAACUAUGCCGACUAGAGAUAGGAAAAUGUCAUUUUGCUGACUUCUCCUGCACCUUAUGAGAAAUC